AAGGCCCUAGCUUAAUUAAAGCGUCUGGGUUGCAUUCAGGAGAUGUAGGUUAGUCACUACGGGUCUUA
rnacentral:tRNA from 1 species